AAGAACUGCCACCUGCCUGAAGAACUGCCACCUGCCUGAAGAACUGCCACCUGCCUGAAGAACUGCCACCUGCCUUUGAAAACCUCCUCCUCUGGAACUCUUCGCCUCUGGAAAAUCUCUGAUGUCCAAAACCAAACUCCACCUGUAAAUAAAACUGCACUUAUCUUUUUA